rnacentral:rRNA from 1 species
AUGGCUCCUUACAGGCUGGCUGCCUUUGGAUUUAGAGGCGCACUUAAAUUACAGAACAAAUAUUAUGGGCCCUUUCUUGUCGUUCAAAAGAUUGGCAACAGUGCUUACAAGCUAUAGCUCCCAGAACGGGUGAAGAUGCACCCAGUGUUUCAUGUCAGCCAGCUCAAGAAACAUUUGGGUAGGAAAUCAAUACAUAGCCAUGAUCUGCCUAUGGUCAAUGAGGAUGGAACUGUCAAGAUGGGACCGGCUGCAAUAUUGGAAGUCGGACAAGUACCAAGACGAAAUUUUCCUGUCAUAAAGAGCUUAAUUCAGUGGGAAAAUUUAGCUCCUAAGGAUGCAACAUGGGAAGAUGCGGACUUCAUCAAGCAUGCAUUUCCAUAG